rnacentral:ncRNA from 1 species
GGUCAUGAGUGCCAGCGCUAAGCCCCGGCUUGCUGGCCGGCAACCCUCCAACCGCGGUGGGGUGCCCCGGGUGAAGACCAGGCCCCGCCACAAGCCGUGGCAGGGCAAGCGCGGACC